GUGGCUCAGUGGUAGAGUGCUUACCUCGCACGUAUGAGGCCCUGGGUUCGAUUCCUCAGC
rnacentral:tRNA from 1 species